rnacentral:rRNA from 1 species
GACGAACGCUGGCGGCGUGCUUAACACAUGCAAGUCGAACGGAAAGGCCCUGCUUUUGUGGGGUGCUCGAGUGGCGAACGGGUGAGUAACACGUGAGUAACCUGCCCUUGACUUUGGGAUAACUUCAGGAAACUGGGGCUAAUACCGGAUAGGAGCUCCUGCUGCAUGGUGGGGGUUGGAAAGUUUCGGCGGUUGGGGAUGGACUCGCGGCUUAUCAGCUUGUUGGUGGGGUAGUGGCUUACCAAGGCUUUGACGGGUAGCCGGCCUGAGAGGGUGACCGGCCACAUUGGGACUGAGAUACGGCCCAGACUCCUACGGGAGGCAGCAGCGGGGAAUAUUGCACAAUGGGCGGAAGCCGGAUGCAGCAACGCCGCGUGCGGGAUGACGGCCUUCGGGUUGUAAACCGCUUUCGCCUGUGACGAAGCGUGAGUGACGGUAAUGGGUAAAGAAGCACCGGCUAACUACGU